AGCUUCAUGGCGCAAUGGAAGCGCGCCGGGCUCAUAACUCGGAGGGUCUCCGAUCGAAACGGAGUGAGGCUA